UACGUAGGGAGCAAGCGUUGUCCGGAUUUACUGGGUGUAAAGGGUGUGUAGGCGGUUUAUUAAGUUAGAAGUGAAAUACCUAGGGCUUAACCCAGGUGCUGCUUCUAAAACUGAUAGACUUGAGUGCAGUAGAGGAAAGUGGAAUUCCUAGUGUAGCGGUGGAAUGCGUAGAUAUAUGGAAGAACACCAGUGGCGAAGGCGGCCGCCUGGCCUGUUACUGACGCUGAGGCACGAAAGCGUGGGGAGCAAAUAGG
rnacentral:rRNA from 1 species